rnacentral:rRNA from 1 species
CGGACCCGAAAGAAGGUGAACUAUGCCUGUAUAGGGUAAAGCCAGAGGAAACUCUGGUGGAGGCUCGCAGCGGUUCUGACGUGCAAAUCGAUCGUCAAAUAUGGGCAUGGGGGCGAAAGACUAAUCGAACCUUCUAGUAGCUGGUUUCCGCCGAAGUUUCCCUCAGGAUAGCAGUGUUGAAUUCUCAGUUUUAUGAGGUAAAGCGAAUGAUUAGGGACUCGGGGGCGCUAUUAAGCCUUCAUCCAUUCUCAAACUUUAAAUAUGUAAGAAGCCCUUGUUACUUAAUUGAACGUGGGCAUUCGAAUGUAUCAACACUAGUGGGCCAUUUUUGGUAAGCAGAACUGGCGAUGCGGGAUGAACCGAUCGCGGGGAUAAGGUGCCGGAGUGGACGCUCAUCAGACACCACAAAAGGUGUUAUCACAUCUUGAC